rnacentral:rRNA from 1 species
CCAGCUCCAAUAGCGUAUAUUUAAGUUGUUGCAGUUAAAAAGCUCGUAGUUGGAUUUCGGGCGGGGCCUGCCGGUCCGCCUUUUGGUGUGCACUGGCAGGGUCCGCCUUGCUGCCGGGGACGGGCUCCUGGGCUUCACUGUCCGGGACUCGGAGUCGGCGUGGUUACUUUGAGUAAAUUAGAGUGUUCAAAGCAGGCUUACGCUCUGAAUACAUUAGCAUGGAAUAACGCGAUAGGACUCUGGCCUAUCUUGUUGGUCUGUGGGACCGGAGUAAUGAUUAAGAGGGACAGUCGGGGGCAUUCGUAUUUCAUUGUCAGAGGUGAAAUUCUUGGAUUUAUGAAAGACGAACUACUGCGAAAGCAUUUGCCAAGGAUGUUUUCA